GGCAAUAUCAUCGAGGAGAAGCAGCAGCAGCAGCAGAAGAACACGAAGACGAAGAAGAAGAAGGAGCCGUUUCUUGUAUUGGUGGUAGUUGUGGAAUAAUAGAAAAAUGUCCAUGAGAAACUUCAUCAUGCGUUGCAAAAGGACAUUAAAUGACUGCACAACACUUCUUCAAACAGAUGCUGGUCCUGCUGUGGUACAAUCCACAAUAAUGAGCUUAGAAACCAUGGAAAGGAGCCUCCAGUGGUCACGGGGCAGACUAAUUAACGUCCCUACAGCUAAUCUUUUACUUCAGGACCUUCAGGAAUAUAUACUUGAAGUCCGGAGAUCUUGGCAUACCACACCCGCACAACAAGGUGAUUCUGGCUACCACGCCCCACUCAUUUGUUGGGUGGUCGAGGUCCCCCACAUUCAGCAUUUCAAGAGAACAACUCUCUUUUUUGGGGACCUGGGGUUUUAAAGCAACACAGAUGGCCCUGAUUCUAAAAGUAUCUCUCCGCACAGUGAGACGGCGUUUGAGGCUGUUCCACAUGAUGCGCUCUGGGACAUACUCCACCAUCUCAAAUGUUGCACUAGACGACCUCAUCAAGGAAAUGGUGGCUGGGAAUGACCAGAUUGGCCCUGAAUCUGCAAGGCCCAGCAGAUGUGGAUACAGAGACGCAGUGCUAAAUUGUCAUUAAAUAAAUGACAUUGUAUAAACAAUGGCCGCUCAUCGAUGUCAUGACAGUUACUAGGCCUGCUUGUAGCCUCCACUUUGCCAUGGUGACUGGGCUUUAUAUAGUCAGGACCAUUUGGAUGUCUUUUCAACAAAUAAAUGUACCAGAUAACGGUGUUGACAUUGAUGUAUUACAAAACAUAUCCCAUAGUUUAACGUUGUUAAUUAGUGCCAUUGUUGCACUUCAAUCAAGCAAACUUGCAUUAUCUCUCUCGUGAUAACUCUAUUUCUCAGCACAACUCU